rnacentral:rRNA from 1 species
GUGGGAACCACCUGACCCCAUGCCGAACUCAGCAGUGAAACCGCUCAGCGCCGAUGGUAGUGUGGGGUCUCCCCAUGCGAGAGUAGGUCAUCGUCAGGC